GAUGAACGCUGGCGGCGUGCCUAAUACAUGCAAGUCGAGCGAACGGACGAGAAGCUUGCUUCUCUGAUGUUAGCGGCGGACGGGUGAGUAACACGUAGAUAACCUACCUAUAAGACUGGGAUAACUUCGGGAAACCGUAGCUAAUACCGGAUAAUAUUUUGAACCGCAUGGUUCAAAAGUGAAAGACGGUCUUGCUGUCACUUAUAGAUGGAUCCGCGCUGCAUUAGCUAGUUGGUAAGGUAACGGCUUACCAAGGCAACGAUGCAUAGCCGACCUGAGAGGGUGAUCGGCCACACUGGAACUGAGACACGGUCCAGACUCCUACGGGAGGCAGCAGUAGGGAAUCUUCCGCAAUGGGCGAAAGCCUGACGGAGCAACGCCGCGUGAGUGAUGAAGGUCUUCGGAUCGUAAAACUCUGUUAUUAGGGAAGAACAUAUGUGUAAGUAACUGUGCACAUCUUGACGGUACCUAAUCAGAAAGCCACGGCUAACUACGUGCCAGCAGCCGCGGUAAUACGUAGGUGGCAAGCGUUAUCCGGAAUUAUUGGGCGUAAAGCGCGCGUAGGCGGUUUUUUAAGUCUGAUGUGAAAGCCCACGGCUCAACCGUGGAGGGUCAUUGGAAACUGGAAAACUUGAGUGCAGAAGAGGAAAGUGGAAUUCCAUGUGUAGCGGUGAAAUGCGCAGAGAUAUGGAGGAACACCAGUGGCGGAGGCGACUUUCUGGUCUGUAACUGACGCUGAUGUGCGAAAGCGUGGGGAUCAAACAGGAUUAGAUACCCUGGUAGUCCACGCCGUAAACGAUGAGUGCUAAGUGUUAGGGGGUUUCCGCCCCUUAGUGCUGCAGCUAACGCAUUAAGCACUCCGCCUGGGGAGUACGACCGCAAGGUUGAAACUCAAAGGAAUUGACGGGGACCCGCACAAGCGGUGGAGCAUGUGGUUUAAUUCGAAGCAACGCGAAGAACCUUACCAAAUCUUGACAUCCUUUGACAACUCUAGAGAUAGAGCCUUCCCCUUCGGGGGACAAAGUGACAGGUGGUGCAUGGUUGUCGUCAGCUCGUGUCGUGAGAUGUUGGGUUAAGUCCCGCAACGAGCGCAACCCUUAAGCUUAGUUGCCAUCAUUAAGUUGGGCACUCUAAGUUGACUGCCGGUGACAAACCGGAGGAAGGUGGGGAUGACGUCAAAUCAUCAUGCCCCUUAUGAUUUGGGCUACACACGUGCUACAAUGGACAAUACAAAGGGCAGCGAAACCGCGAGGUCAAGCAAAUCCCAUAAAGUUGUUCUCAGUUCGGAUUGUAGUCUGCAACUCAACUACAUGAAGCUGGAAUCGCUAGUAAUCGUAGAUCAGCAUGCUACGGUGAAUACGUUCCCGGGUCU
rnacentral:rRNA from 1 species